CAAUAGCGUAUAUUAAAGUUGUUGCAGUUAAAAAGCUCGUAGUUGGAUUUCUGGCUGGAGCGAUCGGUCCGCCCCGCAAGGGGUGUGUACUAGCGUCGUCUCCGACCAUCCUUGUGGGAACUGUGCGGCCGUUAACUCGGUUGUAUAUGGGAACACAUCGUUUACUGUGAAAAAAUUAGAGUGUUUAAAGCAGGCUUAAGCCGUUGAAUACAUUAGCAUGGAAUAAUAAGAUAAGACUUGGGUCAUUAUUUUGUUGGUUUGCGGAUCGAGGUAAUGAUUAAUAGGGAUAGUUGGGGGUAUUCAUAUUUAAUUGUCAGAGGUGAAAUUCUUGGAUUUAUGAAAGAUGAACUUAGGCGAAAGCAUUUACCAAGGAUGUUUUCAUUAAUCAAGAACGAAAAGUUUAAGGGGGAGUCGAAAGAACGUAGUACUACGAAGUAACCUAACCUACUUCGUAGGAACGUACGUCCGAACCGGAACGGACCAACCAACGGGGAA
rnacentral:rRNA from 1 species